rnacentral:rRNA from 1 species
CGCAAACUUACCCUGCAAAGGACACAUAGUGAGUUUAAUCGAUACCCUACUCCAGAACGUCAGGUCAAGAUGCAGCUAAUGAGAAGGAUAAGAGAUGGGCUACAUUCCCUAUUAAUAGGGAAAACGAAUGUUAUGAAUUGAAACAUCAAACUGAAGGUGGAUUUAGUAGUAAGCAGGGAACAGAGUGUCCUGCUGAAACUCGGCCCUAAAGUGUGCACAGACCGCCCGUCACCCUCCCCAGGAAACCUCUAACUCACGUUAACUAAAACCUUUACCCCCAUAAGGGGAGGAAAGUCGUAACACGGUAAGCGUACUGGAAAGUGCACUUGGAUGAU